AGUGAACGCUGGCGGUAGGCCUAACACAUGCAAGUCGAACGGCAGCACAGAGGAGCUUGCUCCUUGGGUGGCGAGUGGCGGACGGGUGAGGAAUACAUCGGAAUCUACUCUGUCGUGGGGGAUAACGUAGGGAAACUUACGCUAAUACCGCAUACGACCUACGGGUGAAAGCAGGGGAUCUUCGGACCUUGCGCGAUUGAAUGAGCCGAUGUCGGAUUAGCUAGUUGGCGGGGUAAAGGCCCACCAAGGCGACGAUCCGUAGCUGGUCUGAGAGGAUGAUCAGCCACACUGGAACGGAGCCACGGUCCAGACUCGUACGGGAGGCAGCAGUGGGGAAUAUUGGACAAUGGGCUCAAGCCUGAUCCAGCCAGACCGCGUGGGUGAAGAAGGCCUUCGGGUUGUAAAGCCCUUUUGUUGGGAAAGAAAUCCAUCUGGUUAAUACCCGGGUGGGAUGACGGUACCCAAAGAAUAAGCACCGGCUAACUUCGUGCCAGCCGCCGCAGUAA
rnacentral:rRNA from 1 species